rnacentral:rRNA from 1 species
GCGCAGCAGUCGCGAAUCCUCCGCAAUACACGAAAGUGUGACGGGGCCAUCCCGAGUGCCGUCCGCUGAGGACGGCUUUUCCCCAGUGUACACAGCUGGGGGAAUAAGGAGAGGGCAAGCCUGGUGUCAGCCGCCGCGGGUAAUACCAGCUCUCCGAGUGGUGGGGACGCUUAUUGGGCCUAAAGCAUCCGUAGCCGGCUGGGCAAGUCCUCCGUUAAAUCCAACGAUUCAAUCGUUGGGCUGCGGGGGAUAC